GUAAUCGUGGCCGAGUAGUUAAGGCGAUAGACUCGAAAUUCGUUGGGGUCUACCCGCGCAGGUUCGAAUCCUGCUGACUACG
rfam:Danio rerio chromosome 4, GRCz11 reference primary assembly.